rnacentral:rRNA from 1 species
CAGUUCGGAUUGCAGCCUGCAACUCGGCUGCAUGAAGCUGGAAUCGCUAGUAAUCGCAGAUCAGAAUGCUGCGGUGAAUACGUUCCCGGGUCUUGUACACACCGCCCGUCACACCAUGGGAGUUGGAAAUGCCCGAAGUCAGUGACCGAACCGAAAGGAAGGAGCUGCCGAAGGUGGAGCCGAUGACUGGGGUGAAGUCGUAACAAGGUAAC